AGGACGAACGCUGGCGGCGUGCUUAACACAUGCAAGUCGAGCGGUAAGGCCCUUUCGGGGGUACACGAGCGGCGAACGGGUGAGUAACACGUGGGUGACCUGCCCUUAGCUCUGGGAUAAGCCUGGGAAACUGGGUCUAAUACCGGAUAUGACCUCGCGAUGCAUGUCGUGGGGUGGAAAGCCUUGUGCGGCUAGGGAUGGGCCCGCGGCCUAUCAGCUUGUUGGUGGGGUGAUGGCCUACCAAGGCGACGACGGGUAGCCGGCCUGAGAGGGCGACCGGCCACACUGGGAUUGAGAACGGCCCAGACUCCUACGGGGGCAGCAGUGAGGAAUUUUCCGCAAUGGGCGCAAGCCUGACGGAGCAACGCCGCGUGCAGGAAGACGGUUUUCGGAUCGUAAACUGCUUUUCGUCGGGGACGAGAACGGACGGUACCCGAGGAAUCAGCCCCGGCUAACGUACGCGCCAGCAGCCGC
rnacentral:rRNA from 1 species